AUGGGAUUUAUUUUGACCCUCGAGUUAGUUUCGACUCCCGGGCAUUUUCUUCUAUAACGAAUUCUAUUUUUUUACUAUUGAAUCACUUCAGGAAAUGAUGACUAUCUAUGGAAAACGGAAUGUCGGAAAAAAGUUUUUUGUUUUCAUUUUAACUGCAUAGAUUUUUAAUAGCUAGCCAUAGCCGCGAAUAAUGACCAUAUAUGGGAAGAUGAAGGCCAAACAGCAAAAAAAUAAAUAAACAAAUAGCGCUGGCUGCAUUUCCUGAGCUGCAGUGGGCCGGAUUACCAGGGAAGAAAAGCAGAGACAUCAUGCUUGGCUGCAGCCCACAUGGAUUACGAAUACAGUGGCAUGCAUGCUGUGAAAGGCCGACCUGGCCUUGAAACCGCGUCUCUGUCCAAUUAGCAUUCCACUGUUACGGUAUUAUCAACACUGUCUGUGUUUGUUUUGUUUUGUUUUUUUCCACAUAAACUGAAUGUUUUUUUUUUUCCUG